GCGGUGACAGCAAGUCAAGGAAAACACGAAUACACUGCCGACAAGAUCGUCUGGAAUGGCCCGGUCGCUGUGUCGACAGUCAGGUCCCUGCAGAGUAACACCUCCCCCUGUAGGAUCAAGGCAGGACUUCAACCGGGAAACCUCAAACGCCUGGCUGCAGCUCAGGAAGUCUUCUAAGGAAACGACCAAUCUCACCCCACAAAUCUGAAACGUGGGCCGUGAUUGGUCAACAAUGAGAUCGUAGUGGGUCCUGACUCCAGGUUAUGCAUCUGCCUGCUACUGGCAGCUCUGUUCUUUCAGCCAAAGGUAAGU